rnacentral:rRNA from 1 species
UGAGGAAUUUUGCGCAAUGGGGGAAACCCUGACGCAGCAACGCCGCGUGGGCGAUGAAGGCCUUCGGGUCGUAAAGCCCUGUCAGGUGGGAAGAAUGUCCCGGGACUGAACAGGUUCCGGGAGUGACGGUACCACCAGAGGAAGCACCGGCUAACUCCGUGCCAGCAGCCGCGGUAAUACGGAGGGUGCGAGCGUUAUUCGGAAUUACUGGGCGUAAAGCGCGUGUAGGCGGUCCUGCAAGUCUGAUGUGAAAGCCCCGGGCUUAACCCGGGAAGUGCAUUGGAAACUGUGGGACUUGAGUACUGGAGAGGAUGGGGGAAUUCCCGGUGUAGAGGUGAAAUUCGUAGAGAUCGGGAGGAAUAUCAGUGGCGAAGGCGCCCAUCUGGACGGUAACUGACGCUGAGACGCGAAAGCGUGGGGAGCAAACA